GGGCCCGCACAAGCGGUGGAGUAUGUGGUUUAAUUCGAUGCAACGCGAAGAACCUUACCAGGGCUUAAAUGUAGUGGGACAGGUCUAGAGAUAGACCCUUCUUCGGACUCAUUACAAGGUGCUGCAUGGUUGUCGUCAGCUCGUGCCGUGAGGUGUCAGGUUAAGUCCUAUAACGAGCGCAACCCCUAUCGUUAGUUGCCAGCGGGUAAUGCCGGGAACUCUAGCGAAACUGCCGGUGCAAACCGUGAGGAAGGUGGGGAUGACGUCAAAUCAUCACGGCCCUUACGUCCUGGGCUACACACGUGCUACAAUGGUCGGUACAGAGAGCAGCCACUACGCGAGUAGGAGCGAAUCUUCAAAACCGAUCUCAGUUCGGAUCGCAGUCUGCAACUCGACUGCGUGAAGCUGGAAUCGCUAGUAAUCGGAUAUC
rnacentral:rRNA from 1 species